ACUCAAAUGAAUAGACGGGGACCCGCACAAGCGGUGGAGCGUGUUGUUUAAUUCGAUGGUAAACGUAGAACCUUACCCAGGUUUGACAUCCUUGGAAUUUUGCCGAAAGGCGAGAGUGCUUUAUUGAGCCAAGUGACAGAUGAUGCAUGGCCGUCGUCAGCUCGUGUCGUGAGAUGUUAGGUUAAGUCCUUCAACGAGCGCAACCCUUUUGGUCUGUUGUAUUUCUCAGGCCAGACUGCCCUGGUAACAGGGAGGAAGGAGGGGAUGAGGUCAGGUCAGUAUUUCUCUUACAUCUGGGGCUACAAACACGCUACAAUGGCCGGUACAAAGGGCUGCCAAGUCGCGAGACGGAGCAAAUCCCAUCAAAGCCGGUCUCAGUUCAGAUUGCAGGCUGAAACUCGCCUGCAUGAAGUCGGAAUCGCUAGUAACGGUAGGUCAGCUAUACUACCGUGAAUACGUUCCCGGGUCUUGCACACACCGCCCGU
rnacentral:rRNA from 1 species